rnacentral:rRNA from 1 species
UACAGAGGGGGCUAGCGUUGUUCGGAAUCACUGGGUGUAAAGGGUGCGUAGGCUGUCCGUUAAGUCUGAUGUGAAAGCCCUGGGCUCAACUCAGGAAUUGCAUUGGAAACUGGCGGACUCAGAGUACCGGAGAGGGAAGCGGAAUUCCUGGUGUAGCGGUGAAAUGCGCAGAUAUCAGGAGGAACACCGGUGGCGAAGGCGGUUCUCUGGGCAUGUCCUGACGCUGAGGAGCGAAAGUGUGGGGAGCGAACAGG